CCCAGACUCCUACGGGAGGCAGCAGUGGGGAAUAUUGGGCAAUGGGCGCAAGCCUGACCCAGCAACGCCGCGUGAAGGAAGAAGGCUUUCGGGUUGUAAACUUCUUUUAUGAGGGACGAAAGAAAUGACGGUACCUCAUGAAUAAGCCACGGCUAACUACGCGCCAGCAGCCGCGGUAAUACGUAGGUGGCAAGCGUUAUCCGGAUUUACUGGGUGUAAAGGGCGUGUAGGCGGGACUGCAAGUCAGAUGUGAAAACUCAGGGCUCAACCCUGAGCCUGCAUUUGAAACUGUGUUUCUUGAGUGCUGGAGAGGCAAGCGGAAUUCCGUGUGUAGCGGUGAAAUGCGUAGAUAUACGGAGGAACACCAGUGGCGAAGGCGGUCUGCUGGACAGCAACUGACGCUGAGGCGCGAAAGCGUGGGGAGCAAACAGGAUUAGAUACCCGGGUA
rnacentral:rRNA from 1 species